rnacentral:rRNA from 1 species
GAUGAACGCUGGCGGCGUGCUUAACACAUGCAAGUCGAACGAAGCAUUUAGGACAGAUUACUUCGGUUUGAAGUUCUUUAUGACUGAGUGGCGGACGGGUGAGUAACGCGUGGGUAACCUGCCUUGUACUGGGGGAUGGCAGCUGGAAACGGCUGGUAAUACCGCAUAAGCGCACAAUGUUGCAUGACAUGGUGUGAAAAACUCCGGUGGUAUAAGAUGGACCCGCGUCUGAUUAGCUAGUUGGUGAGAUAACAGCCCACCAAGGCGACGAUCAGUAGCCGACCUGAGAGGGUGACCGGCCACAUUGGGACUGAGACACGGCCCAGACUCCUACGGGAGGCAGCAGUGGGGAAUAUUGCACAAUGGAGGAAACUCUGAUGCAGCGACGCCGCGUGAGUGAAGAAGUAAUUCGUUAUGUAAAGCUCUAUCAGCAGGGAAGAUAGUGACGGUACCUGACUAAGAAGCUCCGGCUAAAUACGUG